GUUAUGUUAAGCUGUAUAUUAGUUUAAUUUGGAAAUAUUUAUUUGAUGAUAUAAAUUUGACACUUGGUGUUUUAAAAGUCAGAGUUUGUAAUUUUGCAUAUGAUUUUUCAGCUUUUAUAUCUAUCUAUGUACUAUAUAAAGAGAAGUGGUGUUUUUGGUUGGAAAAUUUUGAGUGGACCAUUUUACCCUCUCCAAUAAUUUAUUAUAAUUAAUACGAAAUUAAUUAUAUCCCGGUCAAACAUAAUUUCAAUUGCAUCCAAUGGCUACCAUUUAUCUCGGUCAAACAUAAUUUCAAAAAUAAAAUUCCAGCGUUUUCUCUCUCCUCCUUCAUUUUGACGCGCUAUUUUCUCUCUCCUCCUUUCUUUGUUCUCUGCUCUCUUUCUCUUUGCUAUUUGCUAUGAUUCUUCAUCAAUUCUUCUUCAAACUCCAUUGAUUCUUCAUCAAGAACUGUUCAAUGCUAUAUAUGGAUUCUUCGGUUGCUAUGGAUUCUACUAAUGCUAAAGAUUCUACGGCUAUACCUUUGGAAAGGAAAAUGAACUCUAUGAAAAGGAGUGUGCUGCCGAUGUUGGUUCAUCAGGGGCUGUAGUGGAUGUAGAGUCUGAGAAGCUCAGUGCAUCUAUAAAGUCAUAAAACAAGCAGAAGAGAUUCAAAUCAGUCGCUACUAAGGGUAAAGGAAAAAUAGGGGAAGGAGGGCAGAUUAGGAGGUCAGGCAAUUGUUAUGAUGUUCUUAGGAUUUGCAUAGAACAGUAUUAGUAUCAGUUUUUAUGAUGUUCUCAAUGGCACAAAUGUGUUUGUGUUAAUCUUGUUAUUAUAACCUUUAGUAUGUUUUGUAAUGAUAAACAAAUUAAUAAUUAGGCAAACUUAUUAAGACAUACUAAAGAUUUUUGAGCUCAUUAAAUCUUUGUCAUUUUCGAGCUCCUCUAAACUUACACGCAAUGAGCAAAGAUUUGUUUACCAUAAUCAUGUAAGUAAAUUUGGAGGGGGUAGUCGUGCACGCAUUAUGUGCGCCUCUAAAGAUAUUAAGAAUAAAGCUUACAUGAUGAACGAUGAUGUUAACAUGAUUGCAUACGCAAGGUCUUACUCAGACAAUUGUCCUUCACUUUUUUUUGGAUUGUGUUUUUCAUUUUGAACUUACAAUUUUGUUUUCUUUUAUAUUAUGAGUUUUUAAAGACAAAUUAGCCACUAAAUUAUUAAGACUAAGUUUUUUCUUUUCUUUUCUUUUUUCAAGGAACACACCUUAUACAAUUAACUAGAUUAUUUCUCAUUUUAUUAAUAACAUACAGUUGUUUAACAUGUACUUUAAUCAACUUAAAGCUUUCUUUAUCCAUGUGAUGCAAUGAUAGGUUGUCGUACACCUGUCAAAAAUAAAUUCCUAACAAAACCAACUAACAAUGUAGUAGGAUAAGUAGGGUCGAAUCCACAGGGAGAUGAUAUUCAAUCUAACUUCUACGGAUUUGGAGAAACUAAACUAUGUCACGAAAUUCGGGAUAGAAUGGUAGUCUAAACUAAAAUAAGAACAAAAAUAAUGAAAAGGCCUAGGGUUAUGGUUCACCAUGCUUAUGGUUUUAAAUCUAUCAAAAUACCAUUAAAAAUUCAAUCAAUUAAGUAUCUAGAGCAAUUGCUAAGCCUACUGUCGGGUCUUAACGCUCUCAAUUCAACAUAUGUAGUUCGGUCACUAACAUAAUCAGAAUAACUAAUUGUAGGUAAGCCUUUAAAAGUAAUAUCUUUCGAUUUCAAACUCUUAUUAACAAUAAUUAAUCAAACAAUUGAUCAGGUUGCAAGAUUAACAAU